GACGAACGCUGGCGGCGCGCCUAACACAUGCAAGUCGAACGAGAGAUGAGGAGCUUGCUCCUCAAAUCGAGUGGCGAACGGGUGAGUAACGCGUGAGGAACCUGCCUCAAAGAGGGGGACAACAGUUGGAAACGACUGCUAAUACCGCAUAAGCCCACGGCUCGGCAUCGAGCAGAGGGAAAAGGAGUGAUCCGCUUUGAGAUGGCCUCGCGUCCGAUUAGCUAGUUGGUGAGGUAACGGCCCACCAAGGCGACGAUCGGUAGCCGGACUGAGAGGUUGAACGGCCACAUUGGGACUGAGACACGGCCCAGACUCCUACGGGAGGCAGCAGUGGGGAAUAUUGCACAAUGGGGGAAACCCUGAUGCAGCGACGCCGCGUGGAGGAAGAAGGUCUUCGGAUUGUAAACUCCUGU
rnacentral:rRNA from 1 species